UGACGGACCCGAGCGAGCCGCAACUCUCCCAGUGCGCACGCGCAGUCCGGGCCGGCCUGGCGGUUGGGCUUGUUUGUGGUGGCUGAUACCUUGACCUGUGUGGCCUGCACGUCCGCGCCACCGCCGGACGAAGGGUCACCGGGGCUCCGCGUGGGCCGGAUAGGCCAGAGACCGUGGAGAAACUGACCCAAACCCGCCAGCCUCGGCGGGAGCCGCCCAAGGCCUUCAGAGAUGGUCCCAGAGGCGAGGGCGCCGCGAUGCUGACUGGACCCACUGAGGCAUGUGUGGCCACGGCAGGAGCCACAGCCUGAGUGACAUGGACAGGACCCGAUGCUCCCAAACCCACGAGUAACGAAGAUGUGAAAUCGAGG
rnacentral:lncRNA from 1 species